rnacentral:rRNA from 1 species
AUUGAACGCUGGCGGCAGGCCUAACACAUGCAAGUCGAGCGGAGCUGCGGACGGGUGAGUGAGGCCUAGGAAUCUGCCUGUUAGUGGGGGAUACCGUCCGGAAACGGGACCUAAUACCGCAUACUAUCAGAUGAGCCUAGGUCGGCUUAGCUGGUUGGUGGGGUAAAGGCCUACCAAGGCGCCGAUCCGUAACUGUGCUGAGAGGAUGAUCAGCCACACUGGAACUGAGACACGGUCCAGACUCCUACGGGAGGCAGCAGUGGGGAAUAUUGGACAAUGGGCGAAAGCCUGAGCCAGCCAUGCCGCGUGUGUGAAGAAGGUCUUCGGAUUGUAAAGCACUUUAAGUUGGGAGGCGUUACCAACAGAAUAAGCACCGGCUAACUUCGUGCCAGCAGCCGCGGUAAUUC